AAUACUAGCCAAUCGAAAUCAUCCACGUUAGAAAACGUGCAUAUAUAAAAUGUCUAUUCAAUGUACGGUCAUCAUUUAAACUACUCGUGUAUCUGUAAGACAUACAUCAUUAUUUACUAAGCUGAUAAAAUGAAGAUCGCAUUUCUUCUUCUUCUGGUCUGUAUGGCAAAUCUCUUUGUUGUAUCAGACAGUUGUUGUAAGCCGAGUGGAAGCUGUUUAAAUCAUGGUGAUUGCUGCGGUUCAGCUAUUUGCGUCGUAAAUAGGCUCGGAAAAAAAGAAUGUACAUAUGUCUAGCGCACAUGUUGGAAAUCGAAAAGUAACGUUUCUCCCGUUGAUAAAACACAAUGAAUAAACUAAACUUCUAGAAAAAAUAAACAUCUGGCAUUGACAA